rnacentral:rRNA from 1 species
UACAGAGGGGGCAAGCGUUGUUCGGAAUUACUGGGCGUAAAGGGCGCGUAGGCGGCCUUCUAAGUCGAACGUGAAAUCCCCGGGCUCAACCCGGGAACUGCGUCCGAUACUGGAAGGCUUGAAUCCGGGAGAGGGAUGUGGAAUUCCAGGUGUAGCGGUGAAAUGCGUAGAUAUCUGGAGGAACACCGGUGGCGAAGGCGGCAUCCUGGACCGACACUGACGCUGAGGCGCGAAAGCUAGGGGAGCAAACGGG